GCUUGAGGCUCUGCGGGAACUGCUGGGACUGACUGCAGCCCGAGCUCUGAGCAACAGGAUGUGACAGCAAUCAUGGAGCUGCCCUGAGCUACAUUCAUCAUACACCAGGACAGCGAACAGAGGAUUCCGGGACCUGGUUUGCUGAGCACUUGGGCCAUCAGCAAUGCAGCAUGGUGCCUGGAAGGGGCUAUGGAAUUAAGCAGGCCUAUGAGUGCGCAUGAGACUCUCCAUGAACUAUUCGUGUGAACCUUGUCAAGCUUCCUGCUGUGGAAUUCCAGUCACAAAAAAGAAAUCCUAAAGUUUGAGAGUUGCCUCCCAGUGGAAGAAACAUCUGGGGCUUUGGGGCAGCAGAAGUCACAGCAGGAGGCUGGGAAUCAGCAUCCUUCCUCCUCAGAAUAUGCUUUCCACUGACAGAAUAAAAGCAAGAGAAGACAAGAUGAUGUUGUGUUUUACUCUAAAGACAGUUUGAAACAACGGCCCCAUAGUGUUGGUGGCACACAGUCACUUCUCUUGCUGGACCUGCUGCUUCCCUCCAACAGUCUCUUCCAUUGGCAACAGAUGGGAAGUACUGACCACACGCUCUGUGCACCAUACACUGCUGUGGUGAGAAGUACUGACCACACGCUCUGUGCACCACACACUGCUGUGGUCAGAAGUACUGACCACACACUCUGUGCACCA